rnacentral:rRNA from 1 species
GCAAGUCGAGCGGAAACGACGGUAGCUUUCUCCCGGGCGUCGAGCGGCGGACGGGUGAGUAACGCGUAGGAAUCUACCUAGUAGCGGGGGAUAGCCCGAGGAAACUCUGAUUAAUACCGCAUACGCCCUACGGGGGAAAGGCCGGGAUCUUCGGACCGGUCACUACUGGAGGAGCCUGCGUAGGAUUAGCUAGUUGGUGAGGUAAAGGCUCACCAAGGCGACGAUCCUUAGCUGGUCUGAGAGGACGAUC